ACAGGAUGCUGGAUGGAGCUCUAUUGCAGUGACAUGGGCUGAUUGAGUGCUGUGACUGCAGGCCAUAUCUAGCAUGUCAGCGGUCACAGCAGCUCCUGUGAUUUAGUGCGGAGAAGCAUGUCAGGUAAUGGGGAUAUAAUGGAUGGCAGGGUACCAUGACGACAUCAUAUCCCAUCCUUGGACAGGUGUUUCAGUUUGCGAAUGAGAGGAAAUGGGAUCUUUACACCCAAUUUGAAGUGAACCAUGGCUCUCCAGGACAUGACAAGAACAAAAUCCAUCAGGUGGCCCGUGGAAUUUGCCCUAAUUGGUUUUUACAGUCAUACCUUGUUUAAUAUAAUUGGACUGUCAUAUAAGGGUUGUCCUGGCUGUUAUGCUGGGCUAUUUUUAUCCUGUUUAUUGUAAGUCAAUUCAGUUCCUGGAAGAUCCCUUUAAUGCCCUGACUUGCAUGUCCAAUAUUAUUAGGUGCUAUGAGUUCAGCUUGUGCAAAUCGCUUAAUGCAUAAGUCGGUAAGAGGCUCUGUGCUGGCAGGUCAGACUGAAGGUACAGCAGAUUAAUAUUUGAUCAUGCAGGAGGGUUUGUAAUCACAGCUGAUUGAUCCUUCAGCUGAGUGCCCUGGCAAUUAUCAUAAUUGUUGCCCACCGUACCGGCUUCUCUCUCUCUCUCUCUCUCUCUCUCUCUCUCUCUCUCUCGCUUUCUCUCUCUCUCUCUCUCACUCGCAUGUCUCCCUCACUCUCCUCGUAACGUGGGCCGCAGGUUGAGAGUCUGUGAGACAGGAAUUCCUGUACAGUGUGUCUUUGAGUGUAUAAUGCAGGAGAAAUGUGGGAGAGAGGUUGGAUGAGGAUCAUCAGAGGCGAGGUUUCCCUCUCUUGGGCGACAUUGUGUGUGUGUGUGUUUGUGUGUGUGUGUGUGUGUGUGUGUGGGCAGUGGGACGUGGUUAGCUUGUGUUAGUGUUUCCGAGGACACACACACGCUGUAUUCUGGCAGUGUUCAGAGUGAAUCCCCACUCAGCCACGAUCCACGCUCACGCUGCGAGACGGCGUGUAACACACAAACGCGGGAAAAAGACAGAACGCUGUCUCUAUUUACACAGGACUCUUUUAUCAUGAAAUUUGGAUCAAUCUUUCUCUCUGGUUGAUUUGUUUUUCGAGUGAUUUUACUAACUGAUGCUGAAUUGCCUUAUGGUCCAUAACCUGUAAUAAUAAAGCUUGUAUAUUAUUUCAGAAAUGA